UACGUAGGGUGCAAGCGUUGUCCGGAAUUAUUGGGCGUAAAGAGCUCGUAGGCGGUCUGUCGCGUCGGCUGUGAAAACUCGGGGCUCAACUCCGAGCUUGCAGUCGAUACGGGCAGGCUAGAGUUCGGCAGGGGAGACUGGAAUUCCUGGUGUAGCGGUGAAAUGCGCAGAUAUCAGGAGGAACACCGGUGGCGAAGGCGGGUCUCUGGGCCGAUACUGACGCUGAGGAGCGAAAGCGUGGGGAGCGGACAGG
rnacentral:rRNA from 1 species